AUCCUGGAGUAUAUUCACGAGCACGAGUAUGUGCAUGGAGACAUCAAGGCCUCAAAUCUUCUUCUGAGCCACGAGAAUCCCGACCAGGUGUACUUGGUCGAUUAUGGACUUGCUUAUCGGUACUGCCCAGAAGGCGUUCAUAAAGAGUACAAAGAAGACCCCAAAAGGUGUCACGAUGGCACUAUUGAAUUCACCAGCAUUGACGCGCACAAUGGCGUGGCCCCAUCAAGACGUGGUGAUCUGGAAAUCCUUGGUUAUUGCAUGAUCCAGUGGCUUACGGGCCAUCUUCCUUGGGAGGAUAAUUUGAAAGAUCCUAAUUAUGUCAGAGAUUCGAAAAUUAGAUACAGAGAAAAUAUUGCAGGUUUGAUGGACAAAUGUUUUCCCGAGAAAAACAAACCAGGUGAAAUUGCGAAAUACAUGGAAACAGUGAAACUACUAGACUAUACUGAAAAACCUCUUUAUCAGAAUUUGCGAGAUAUUCUUUUGCAAGGACUAAAAGCCAUAGGAAGUAAGGAUGAUGGCAAACUGGACCUCAGUGUUGUGGAGAAUGGAGCUUUGAAAGCAAAAACAAUGACUAAGCGAAAGAAAGAAAUGGAAGAAAGCGCAGAAUCUAGUGUUGAAGAUAUGGAAUGCUCAAAUGCUCAGACAGAGACCACUCAAACCCGUUCAAGAACCAGAAGGAGAGUCCAGAAGUAAUUCAAAAGCUGUGAACCAUCCUUUUCAUUUGACCUUUUUCUCCUUUUCUAUUUGAAGUGUUUUAUUUUCAUGUGAGUCUUGUGGGGUAGGAAUAAUAAUUAGAUGCCUAUGUCUUUGAAAAACAUACACCUUUUUUAUUAAAAUAAAUAUUUUGUACAAUUGAUUAAAGGCUAAUAUAUGCAGUU